CUAUCUCUAUCCCUCCAUGAAAACACAUGGAUAGUGGGUGAGCAGAUCAUUACUCACAUUCCUCACUCUAUCGUAGAUAAAAAGACCUUUUACAUGCAGCCGUUCAUCUCAUUCAUCGACGCCGUAAAAGACGAGGUGGUGCAGUGGCGGCGCCACAUCCACGAGUAUCCAUAUGUUGCGUAUGAGGAGCAGCCCACCGCCGACUACGUGGCGGACGUCCUCAGCAGCAUGCCCGCACCGCUGGACAUUCGCCGGCUGACGCCGAACAGCGUCGUGGCGGACCUGCGGGGUGGCACUGGCGAGGGACCCAUGUACGCCCUGCGCGCCGACAUGGAUGCACUGCCGCUGCAGGAGGAGAGCGGCGAGCCCUUCAGCUCGAAGCGGCCAGGCGUGAUGCACGCGUGUGGCCACGAUGCCCACACGGCGAUGCUGCUUGGGGCGGUGAAGGUGCUGUGCCAGAUGCGCGACCGCAUCCGUGGGACUGUUCGCUUUGUUUUCCAGCACGCCGAGGAGGUGGUCCCGAGCGGCGCGAAGCAGCUGGUGGGCCUUGGUGUGCUGGAUGGCGUGUCCAUGAUCUUUGGGCUGCACGUCGCUGCAGAAUACCCUGUCGGCACCAUCUCGACCCGACCGGGCACCCUCUGCGGUGCGUGCGACGACUUCGACAUUGUGAUCCGCGGUGCUGGCGGCCAUGCCUCGCAGCCGGAGCUGUGUGUCGACCCCAUUCUCAUUGCCUCCGAGGUCGUGGCAAACCUCCAGUCCGUUGUAUCACGCCGCGUGAGCGCUCUGAAGGCCCCUGUACUGAGCGUGACGCAGAUCGUGGGCGGCACCGGUGCGUACAACGUGAUUCCGGAUACCGUGCGCAUGCGCGGCACACUGCGCUGCCUCGACCGCGACACUCAGGCUCGGGUGCCCUCUCUGAUGGAGGAGAUCAUCGCCGGCAUCACGAAGGCGCACGGCGCCCAGUACGAGCUGAGCUGGCUGGAGCCCAACAUCGUGACGUACAACGACCCGAAGGCGUACGAAGUGGUGAAGAGCGUAGCUGAGGAAAUGCUUGGUAAAGAUGCGUUUGUUGUGAAGGAAGAGCCGAUGUUCGGCGUGGAGGACUUCUCGGAGUACCAGGCAGUGAUCCCGGGCUGCUUUUCUCUGAUAGGCAUUCGCGAUGAGGCGUUUGGCUCCGUGUACACGGAGCACAGCUCGAAGUUUAAAAUUGAGGAGUCAGCUUUGCAGGCCGGUGUGAUGAUGCACGUGGGCACCAUUGUGAAACUGAUGAUGGAGUGAUCGCACAUUGCCUCCUUGGCCUGAUCGAUCCGCGUACGGAAUGGGUGGGGGAGGAGCAAACGUGCUCGUGUGCUGGCUGAAGCUGGUACUGCUCUUUUUUUUCGUUGUGCAUGUUUCGUGUAGUAUAUCCUCUUUAUGCACAGAAACAGCACUGGAAGCAGUCCGUUCCCCCCCCCAUGCCGCUCCUCUUCAUUCUUAUUCUGUUCUUUGCUCUGUCUUCUUGUGCUUUAUCUUUCAGUUUUGUUUCGGUAAUGAAGUUCGCUCCGCUUCUCGACUGGGGGGGGGGGGGGGGUCUGGCGCAUAUACCGUCAUGCGCUUGAAUUUUAUCCGUUGUUGCUGCUUCAUUCCUCUCCGUAAAGACUGGAAGGGGGGAGGGGGCAGGAGUGGAUGACAGGCCUCGAGCGAGGCUGACAUUUGCUCGCUGUCGCUGUGGCUGAUUGGGCUCAUUUCACGCCUUCUCACUCGUUUGAUUCAUAUUGCUGAAUUGCUUCUCUUGUAAGGUCGGACGCUGUAUCUGGUGCACCCGCGCAUGUAGGCGUGUGGCCGUGUGCUGGGGUGCCUCUUUUUCAGUCGCAUUUACUGGGUGGUAGUCUUGGAAUAGAACUUCGCCUACGCUCAUGCGCACACCCGUAUGCAUACGUUUGCCCUUGUCUCUCUGUCUCUCGUUUUCUUUGGUCUUGGUCUUGCUCUCUUGCCUGAUUCCCCCGCCCCUCCUCCCAGCCAAAUGUGGAGAGCGCGCACGCAUCGAUAUACGGAACGGGGCCUGCUCCUCUUUUGUCAACAGGUAACUGUCCCUCUUGUUUUACGGAACUGAUUUGUGCGCGCGCGUACUUGCAUCGAGGAAUCCUUCUCUUAUGGAAACUCCUUUUUCACGCGGACUCUGAUGACACAGAACACAUCAGCGUCGCAUCUCAGGGUUCAGUACCCACUCUGAGUGUGGGAGGAAGCCAAGCAGCCCCUAUACUCGGCUAAAAUGCCGAGCCACUUCUGCUGGUGACAGGUUCAAGCGCCUACGACGUGGGGAAGUGAGAGCAAUUCAUCGCUGCUGAUGCUGGAGACCAUGUCCUGGAUGGCGCUGCGUUGGGGGGGGGGGGGGGCUGCCACAGUGAGCACGCGUGUACCAUCCAUGACUACUCAGUGUCAGCAUGGCUAGCGUGUAUCUCGCUUCGCCCUCACACUCCCUACUAGUGUGAAGCCUGAGGCCACCCCGAGAAGGAUGAAGCAGGUGGUGCCCGGCAUAAUGAGAGGGGCUGUGGGCCGACCUGCAGAGCAGCUUGUCGGUAGAGCUUGAGGUAGGGGUCGUGCUCCAAUGGCGGAGUCGGCACAUUGCUCUGAGGCGUGCCUACGGCUGCUUCGCACCACGCGAUGUGGAGACUGUGGCGGGGCGAGGGAUCGAGUGGAAUUUCGCUCAUGUUCUCUGGCAGAGAAUGGACACGUUG
rnacentral:misc_RNA from 1 species